rnacentral:rRNA from 1 species
GAACCGUAACACAGGUGCUGCAUGGCUGUCGUCAGCUCGUGUCGUGAGAUGUUGGGUUAAGUCCCGCAACGAGCGCAACCCUUGUCAUUAAUUGCCAUCAUUGAGUUGGGCACUUUAAUGAGACUGCCGGUGACAAACCGGAGGAAGGUGGGGAUGACGUCAAGUCCUCAUGGCCCUUAUGGGUAGGGCUUCACACGUCAUACAAUGGCAGGUACAGAGGGUAGCCAACCCGCGAGGGGGAGCCAAUCCCAGAAAGCCUGUCGUAGUCCGGAUUGUUCUCUGCAACUCGAGAGCAUGAAGUCGGAAUCGCUAGUAAUCGCGGAUCAGCAUGUCGCGGUGAAUACGUUCCCGGGUCUUGUACACACCGCCCGUCACACCAUGGGAGUGGGUGAUACCAGAAGUAGGUAGUCUAACCGCAAGGAGGGCGCUUACCACGGUAUGAUUCAUGACUGGGGUGAAGUCGUAACAAGGUAGCCGUAGGGGAACCUGCGGCUGGAUCACCUCCUUUAAGA